rnacentral:misc_RNA from 1 species
UUUCCGUAGGUGAACCAGCGGAAGGAUCAUUAGUGAAUUGAUUAUGUUCGCGGACCUCUUCGGAGUCCCUCGCUUCAAAUCAUAUCCAUAACCCCUGUGAACUGUACGGCUCUCUUGAAAACGAAAGUGAUUAGAACGCGUGCCCAUUUUAUACAAACAUUAAAGUAACUAACGUAGACUAAUUAUAAUAUAAUAAAACUUUCAACAACGGAUCUCUUGGCUCUC